AGGACGAACGCUGGCGGCGUGCUUAACACAUGCAAGUCGAACGAUGAACCACUUCGGUGGGGAUUAGUGGCGAACGGGUGAGUAACACGUGGGCAAUCUGCCCUGCACUCUGGGACAAGCCCUGGAAACGGGGUCUAAUACCGGAUACUGAUCAUCUUGGGCAUCCUUGGUGAUCGAAAGCUCCGGCGGUGCAGGAUGAGCCCGCGGCCUAUCAGCUUGUUGGUGAGGUAAUGGCUCACCAAGGCGACGACGGGUAGCCGGCCUGAGAGGGCGACCGGCCACACUGGGACUGAGACACGGCCCAGACUCCUACGGGAGGCAGCAGUGGGGAAUAUUGCACAAUGGGCGAAAGCCUGAUGCAGCGACGCCGCGUGAGGGAUGACGGCCUUCGGGUUGUAAACCUCUUUCAGCAGGGAAGAAGCGAAAGUGACGGUACCUGCAGAAGAAG
rnacentral:rRNA from 1 species